CUAGGCUCUCCGUAGAUCCAGCUUGAUCCCGAAAGCAGUUUCACCAGCACCAGCUCCUGCCUUUUUGCACAUCAACAUGACAGGAUCACAGGAAACGAAGCACGGAUAUGCCAGAACAUUCCUGGCAGUUUGUACAUUUUGUUUCACAGACCCUACACCGAAAACAAUGAACAAACCUUGAGAUUAUGAAUGAUCUUACUAACAAUUUAAGAGACUUUCAGUUUUUGACUUCCUGCCUGCAGGAAGGAAAUGACAGUUGGAAGUGCGGAGAACAGGUGUUACCCUGGACAGCAUGAUAUCUUCUGCUUACUAAAAUAAAAAACACUGCAUCAACACUCCUACGUGGAAGUGAGUUCUAACCACAAGACUCAGUCUUUCCACCACAGACCCAACUUCAGAAAACCAAAUCUGUUUCCUACCAGGAAGUUGUUAAACCCAGCAGUAAAGAGCGGACUCAGGGGCAGAGUUCUUCGAAUCAGUCUUGGAUGAAUCCAAGAAAAGAGUUUAGGUGGUUUGAAAAUGUCCCCCUCUGUGUCCUUCCAGUUACUGGCAGUGCAAUUGCACGGCAGACUCGUCAGGGGACUUGGAAGGGAAAGGAGCAGGAUUGGUGUUAACUGGCCCCAGCUGAAGGAUCCUCUAAGGAGCCAGGGCUGUGGAGGAAGGGGACCCGGUGGCUGUAAUGGCGACUGAGCAAGGAAAUCGAAGCUCGUGGGCUGAGUGAACCGAUUAUUUUGGGAAAGGUAGUACACGAUUUCGCCUUCUGAAAGCAUCUGCAACUGGCUUCUCUCUCCCACCCCCUCCUCAACUCACUACGUCAUGAACAUUGUUAGAACUGUUCUUCAAAGAAAAUGUCAUUAUGCGAUACAGAGAAGAUUGCUGUAGCAAUAUACAGAUACUGCUUUGAGUCAAUAGAAAAAUGAAUACAGGCCAAAAGGAACCUCCUCCGAGAAGUCUUCUCUGAUCAACUCUCCUGUGAGUCUUUUCAAUACUCUCCUUGAAAUCAUCCAGAGGUUUUACAUAUUGCUUCUGUAUAAUAUUUGGCCCCCGCUCAUAAACAUAUUCCUUGGUCUUAUACUCAAACCCUUUUGGUUGCAAAGAACAAAGACCCCGUUUUGUAAGAGUACACGUGAACUGGAAAGUUCGACACCCGAGGGACUGGUCUUUCUUGGUGUGCUUGCAUCUCCCUUUGGUCUGUUCCAGUCUUCUCACUCUCUGGGUUGGCCUCCUCACUCUACUGACACUUCUGUUCCUCCACCAUUUGGCUUCCAUUCAUUCAUUCAUUUAUCCAGCAAAUCUGGG
rnacentral:lncRNA from 1 species